UUAAACUCCAAUUAUCCACUGUUGUAGCUGUCUUAAAAGAUAUUCUUUCUUGUCUGACUUUCCUUUCCUGUAUGACUUCCUCACCCACCUUCUAAUGUUCAUAGAUUCAGGAAUAAUAAACCACCUUCAAUCAAAUCCUUGUCUCAAGGUAUGCUUCUGAAGAAUUUGAAACGAGACCCCCGCAUGGUGAUUGGAAAAGGUGUCCAGAAUUAUCACUGGUACAGGAGCAUAUUUAUGUUAAUUUCUUAUUUUGGAUAUUCCUGAACAUUGAAGAUUUUGAAGCUAGUACAAAUUUGAACCACACACUUGUUCAUGAAACAGGCUCAGAGUACAAAUUCUUCAGGAACUCAAGCAGAGAUAGGCUAUGAAAUGAUGAUGGCCAACCAUGGAUAGAAGCUAGUGGGGCUUUCUACUCUGCUUAAACUGUUCCCAUUCCAAUGUGCAAAACACUGCUCAAGAGUUUCCUUGUUGGAGACUGACAGACAGAAAAGAAGAAGAAUGCAUUGUGUUCUCAGAGAAACCCAGAAAAGAAAAGAUUGGAGCUGCUGAGCUGAGAGCACUGAGAACUGACAGCACUCAAUCUUUUAUGUCCUUUUGGAGGUACAGCAUGGGAGAAAUGGGGUCACCUGGUAGUAGGACUCCAGUUGCUCCCAAUGCGACUUCCUGCCUUGGUGAAGUCUACUGGAAGGAGUGUUGACUCUGUUAGAGACGUACAAGUAGAGAGCUCCAGCAAGCUGGAAAUAGGAGUCUGUAGUCCAGCAGAGAAGUCAGGCUUGAAGAUACAAAUUGAGGAGUCAUCAAAGUAUGGAUGACAUUGGAAGAGAAGGAGCAAGAUGACAUGACUUCCAGAGUGGGUGCAGGUGGGCUGCUUCCCAUCAUGGUAAGACUCUCCUGUUCUUAUCUUCCAAUCUCUCCUCAACCAACUCCAGUUCACAUCUAUAACCCCACCACGCUACUGAAUCUGCCUUCGUUAAGAUCACCGUUCUUUCCCUGAAACACAAAGUGAAUGGAUUUAGUAAAGAAAUAGUUAGGAGGCAGGAGAAUUGAGAAGAAUUAGAGCAAUGUCACAGUGAUAAGACUCUAGCAGAGAAAGAUCAAUGCCUCUAACAUAUUAAGAACUGAAAAGUGUCAAGGAGGGUUUAUACCAUAUUUGAGAGCAAAAUUCUAAGAAACAUUGAGGCUUGGCUCUGACUUCUCAGAUCCCAGCUGCUUGCCUGUGUUUCUGAUCACCAUCUGCUCCCAGAUUCCCAGGGCCAAGCUCUACCACAGACCCUUGUGUCUUCAAGUUGGGCCCCCCAGUGCUAUCCUGGCAUGCCACCUGCUAUCUGUUGCCAGACCUUUUCAGAUACUAUAUUCUGCCUGCUAUACUGAACCUCUCUUCUGUAUCUCAAAUACAUACAUUUCCUUUCCUAUCUUCUCUUGAGCAGUUCUAGUCCUAAUUUCUGGAUUCUUUAGUCUAUAUAUCUUAUAAUAACUAAUAAGGUUCUGGUCAGCCAUGCCUUUCGAUGGGACACUUACUAACCAACCCACUACUCUGUUACAGUAUUUUUUAGGGUCUAGAAGAUGACAAGCACUGGAUUUUGAAUUCAACCUCAAAAGGUCCUUGGCUCAUUUUAUAUACUUUGUGAUUGAGCCAGGUCAAACCCCAAUAAAUGCUGUGCCCCUCUAAGUAAGCACAUGCUCUUGUAUAUUUACCAGAAGCAAUUGAAGCAGUGAAGGAAGAAGUGAUAGAAGUCACUGAAAACUUCACUAUAUUAAAAGUCAUUUUUAUAUCUGGAACUAGGAAAGGCUGGACUAAAGUUCUGCCAACAGCGAGGCUCACUCCAUUAGUUAUAACUCUUCUUCCUACUGCUUGGCAAAUCAAGAUAAAAGAGUCCUUCUGGGGGAGCCACUUUUAACUCCUCUGGGGGAGUUGAAAAGCAAAUAUCAUGUUAAUCUUGAAAACCAGUUUCUCUAUUUCAUUAUUUUUGAACCUACAAUUCAAUAUAUAUUCAUUGAAUUACAGAGUCUAUUAUUUAUUUGAAGCUUGUUAUGGGUUAAAUUGUGUCCUUCCAAAAUUCUUAUGUUGAAAUCCUAAUCCCAAGUAUCCCAUAAUGGGACCAAGUACCUCAGAAUGGGAAAUAGAGUCAUUGCAGAUGUAAUUAAUUAAGAGAUGUAAUUAAUUAAGAUACUGGAGUAAGAUGGGUCCCUAAUCCAGUAUGACUGGUGUCCUUCUGAAAAAGCAAAAUGUGGACAUAGAUACACACACAGAGAAAUGUCAUUUGAAGAGAGAGGGCAGAGAUGUAAAAGCCGAGGAACAUUAAAUAUUGCCAGCAAACUGCCAGGAGAGAGGUUUGGAACAGAUUUUCCUGCACAGCCCUCAGCAGGAACCAAUCCCACUGACAUCUUGAUUUUGGGUUUCCAGUCUCCAGAACUGUGACACAAUAAGUUUCUGUUGUUUAAGCAACCCAGUUUGUGGUUCUUAUACUAGCCCUAGCAAACUAAUACAAAGCCUGAGCAGACACAAAUUAUAUUAGCCACAAUAAUUUAGCAAUAUUUUCAGUUUUGCAUUAAUGAAAGUACAGCCCAAUUUGUCCACCCUUUGGAAUUUUGCCAGCACAAACCCUCAUCCCAUCAAAAUCAUCACCAAUUAGGAAGAGAAAACAAAGGGUGGGGGCAAAAGGGGUGUAAACACAUGCUCAUUUUUCUGAAGAGGCUGAAGGAGUGCUUCUUCAUGUAGGCAUAUUUCCAAAGAGGCUGAAGAAAAAAAAUAUGUAUUCAAAAAGAACAUUUACUCCUGUUGUUAAGUCAAUGCCUCACAACAUCACUACAGUAUCAGACACGAAAAUUAGGCCAGAAUUAUGCAGUUGAGUCUAAUGCUGUCUGUUCAGGCUUCAGUGAUAGACAAAAAGAAAUAGUUGCGUUUUGUAUGGUAAUUGGCUGGAGAUGUGCAGUACGCAUUUACAAACCAUGUCAGGACAUUUUUGCAUAUCAGAAAACAAUCUAACACAUUUCAUGAGACACUUGUGCAAUCCAUGAAUUUUAAUUAUCUAUGAAGCCUUGGACAAAGAGUACAAUAUGAAACACUUCAAUAAUAGCAAUAAUAAAUAAUCUUUUUCUUGCCAUUGUUGGUGUCAAUCUCAAAAUUUCAUCUUUAUUAAUAUUACAUCAUUAUUUUAUGGGAAUAAUUACUACUUUGUAGUAUGAGUAAAAUAUGUGCUUAUGGAAAUAUGAGACAAGGGCUGUAUAUUUCUUCUAUUCAGCUGACACAGUGGAAUCCAAUAAAAUAGAGAAUGGAAUGAGACUGAGUAUGAAAGAGAAACACCAAUUUCUUGUUUGUUCUUUUCAAAGUUGUACAAAACCCAAAGGUUUUGUACCAGCCCAAACAACAAUCUCUCCAAACUCGAUCUGGUAGUUUGCCUUCAAGGAACAUGUACUGAAUGAGACACUAGGUUCCACACAGCUGGCCAAGGACUUUGGAAAUCAUUGCUCCUAUUUUUAACCCCACAUUCUUGAGCUGCCCACCCCCACCCUACCCAAUCACACAGCUCAAGAUUCCUUCUGAGCAAUUCGGACUGGACAGAGCAGCACGUGGUAUCCACGCAGCCAGACCCUAGCCAGCCUCACUUCCAAAACCUGUCAGUUAAAACUAAUUUAGGGGUGAAUCACGGGACCUCUGCUCACCACCCAAUCUGUUUAGGAACAUUGCUCUGUCCUUUUAACAGCCAGAGCUGCAGGCAACAUGUACUCUGUUAUGAGAGGGUAAGGAGUGUUCAGCUCACUUAGAAUCUGAUUGGCAGAGCAGCCUUAAUACUUUAUACUAGUUCUUAGAAAUGUUUACGGAACGCAGUGUUUUGCACUGCAGUAUAAAGCACACUAUGUGCAGCCAUACCCUAACCAGUUGUAGAUCUGCUUGGGCAGAGGAAUCUGUUUUCCCAAGAAGGGCAGUCUCUCUCUUUACUCCAAGAACUAUGGAAGAGGCAUUGAAUUUAAAUUAAACAAGAGAGAUUUAAAUCAGAUUUAAAGAGUUUAGGCCACUAAACUAUAAAUUUUUUGAAAAUUUUUUAUUUACUUUAAUUUAAACUCUGAGAUACACGGGCAGAACGUACAGGUUUGUUACAUAGGUAUACAUAUGCCCUGGUGGUUUGCUGCACCUAUGAACCCAUCAUCUAGGUUUUAAGCCCCACCUGGAUUAGGUAUUUGUCCUAAUGCUCUCCCUCCCCUAGCCCCCCAACCCCCGACAGGACCCAGUGUGUGAUGUUCCCCUCCCUGUGACCAUGUGUUCUCACUGUUCAUCUUCCACUGAUGAGUGAGAACAUGCAGUGUUUGGAUUUCAGAGUCUCUUUGUGGAGUUUUAAACAGUGACAAAGAGAUGUAUCUUUCACCCAUUUUGGAAUACCUAAAUUAGUGCAUUUGAGAAGACAAAGAAAAAAUAUAAGACUAAAUGGUAGUGUUUUGUAGUUUUAUGACUCUAUGUUCUUUUCCGUUGUUAUGAAAUUGCUGUUGCUCUUUGGAGGAAGAAAUCAGUUUUUCUAACUCUUGAUGAAUAAAUGCUUCACGUCUCACCCACGCGCACUCUUCCUUUAGGUGGUUUUGCUGUUAAUUCGCUUUAACUACCUCUUUCUUCUGUGUGUUUGGUCUUCUAAAACUGGUUCUGCAUAAUAAAUCCUAAUAGUCCUGUUGUGGAUGAAGAACUAAAUUUAAAAAUGUAACUUCUCACCAAGAUGGCCCUGAAAGUUAAGAAGGAAACCUCUGCUCCUCCCAAAGUCAAGAUAAAGCAAAGUCUUUGAAGGCCAAAAAGGCAGUGCAGAAAAGUAUCCACAACCAUACUCAAAAGAUCCUCACACUACUCCACUUCUGGUGGCCCAAGACUCUGCAGCUUUUAAGGCAGCAAAAUGUCCUUAGAAAAGUACCACCAGGAGAAGCAAGCUUGAUCACUCUGCCAUCAUGUUCCACUUGAAUCAGACAAGAAUAGGGAAGACAAUACAUAUGUGUUCAUUUUAGAUGUCAAAACCAACAUGCACCAGUUCCAAAGGCUGUGAAGAAGCUUCAUGACACUAACAUGGCCAAGAUCAACACACUGAUCAGGCCUGAUGAACAAAAAAAGGCAUGACUAUGAUGCUUUGGAUGUUGCCAACAAAAUUGGGAUCAUCGAAAGAACACUCAGAUGGCUAAUUUUAAAUACAAAAAUUUCAGAUUUCUUUGUGAUUCUGUGAUUAGUUCAGCUUGACAAGAAGAAGAGAGAAAGGAAAAUGGCAUUUCUGUCCUCAUGUUUCUCCUCUUUGUGCAUCUAGAUGAUGAAUGGUGGGUGAAUGGGGGCAAAACGUCUUGGUCAAUAAAAGAAAAUCUGAAAAUCUUCCUGAGGCCAUCUGUGUCUAGUUUUUAAAUUCUUCGCUCAGUGGAAGAGAUUUGAUGAUGAGAAUUCAGAGAUACAAUCCUUUUCUUAUCCUACCUGUGUCAAUAGCUCUUGAUUCAAAUGCUAUUAUUAAAUUAUUUUUUCAUUCAUUCAGCAAAAAUUCAUUGAGCACAUAUUAUGUGCUAGCUUUCACUCUAGCUCCAGGGUUACAGCUCUGAAACACUUGACAAAUGUUUCUACCUUCAUAGACUUCACUUGUACUAAGAAGAGAUGGACAUUAGACAAGUAAAUAAGUGGAUUCAGUAGAAUGUCAGAUGGCUGAAAAUGUUAUGGAGAAAAAUUAAGCAGGAAGGGUCAUGAGGAGUAAGAGGGGAAUGAACAUUGAAGUUUGGCAGGGUGGGCAGGCAGGACUUGGCUGAGAAGAAAAUAUUUGGGUAAAUAUCUAAAGGAGGGGGCAGAGUUGGAUGUGGAUAUUUGCAGGAAGAGCAUUCCAGGCAGAAGAAAUAACAAAUACAAAGCCCUGAACAUGUACCAGACAGAACAUUUGUCAAAGCAUCUCAUCUCUCUUCUACCGUAAAAUAAAAUUCUGCUCUAACAGGGUAGUGAAGAACAUAUUAAUCCUGCACCAAUACUAUUGUUCAUUUAGCUCACAAGUUCAUUACCACAAUUUGAUGGUAUGAACUGCCUUGGAACUUGGUCCAUGUGUUAACAUUCAUCGUAUUUUGUUUUCUUUUUGUUUUUAUUUUGUACUGGUAACACAUAAAUACUUUCUUGUUGAAAAGAUGCAAACAAUAGGCCUGGCGCGGUGGCUCUCGCCUAUAAUCCCAGAACUUUGGGAGGCCGAGUCGGGUGGAUCACGAGGUCAGGAGAUCGAGACCAUCCUGGCUAACACAGGGAAACCCCAUCUCUACUAAAAAUACAAAAAAUUAGCCGGGCGUGGUGGCUGGCGCCUGUAGUUCCAGCUACUCGGAAGGCUGAGGCAGGAGAAUGGUGUGAUCCCAGGAGGCGGAGCUUGCAGUGAACCGCGACCACAACCGUGCACUCCAGCCUGGGCAACAGAGUGAGACUCCAUCUCAAAAAAAAAAAAAAAAAAAAGAUGCAAACAAUACAGAAAUUUAUAGAGUGAAGUGUGAAGGUUACCCCAUCCAACUUCUCUUGCUAUACUUCUUAUCAACCUACCAACGUUCUUACUUCAGAACAAACUACUGUUAAUAGUUUGAUAUACAUUCAUCAGUCAUUUUUUCAUUUAUAUAUGCAUGUAUAUGAAGACGUAGUUUUUUUCAUAAAUGGGAUCAUACUUUACACGUUUUUUUGACAACUUGCUCUUCUUAACAAUGUGGAAGAUUUAUCUGAGUUAAUAGAGAAAGGUCUGUUAUAUUCUAUAAUAAAAGUGGAGUAUUUCUUGGUACAGAUUUGCCACACAUUAUUCACACUCCCUAUUGAAGGGUUGUUUUUAUUUUUUAAAUCUGAAUCUCUUUGUAUGAAACUUAUGGUGAAAAUAUGUAAAUGUUUCUCUAAGAUAGACAUCCAGAAUUUUGAGUAGAUGGAUAUAUGUGAGGUUUGUUAUUUACUUUUUUGUAAUGGUGAUAUACAGAGGUAUGAUCCACAUACCAUACAAUUUACCCAAAGUAUAAAAUGUAAUGAUUUUAGUAUAUUCGGAAUUGUGCAAUCAAUAAAUUUUAGAACAUUUUUAUUACCCCCCCAAAACACACAAACCAUCUAAGCCAUCACUCCUCAAUCUUCUCCUCCCUUUCGGGGAAACCCCUAAUCUACUUCUGUCUCUAUAGCUUUACUUCUUAUGGAUAUUCCAUAUAAAUGGAAUCAGAAAAUUUUUGGUUUUGUGUCUGCCUUUUUUCACUUAGCAUAAUGUUUCUAAGGUUUAUUCACAUUGUGGCAUGCAUCAGCACUUCGUUUCUUUUAACUGCAUAAUAAUAUUCAUUUGUAUGAAUAUACAUUUUAUUUAUCCAUUUAUUGGUUGAUGGAUAUUUGGGUUGCUUACAUCUCUGAGCACUUAUGAAUAACGCUGCUAUGAAUAUUAAUGCACAAAUUUUUAUGUAAACUUAUAUUUUUCAUUCUCUUGGGUGUAUACCUAGGAGUGGAAUUCUUGUGUCAAAUGGUAACUCUCUACAUUGAGCAAAAGAGAACCUACGUUCCUUCACAAAGGACGUUCAUGCUUUAAUUUAUAAAGAUCUUUCAUUUCAAACUCUGGAUGCUGAAGCAAAAGUGGCAUUGGAAAUAUUUCAACACAAGUACAAAACAGAUUUCACAGAAAAGAAGGCAUCUCAGAACCCUGAGAGAAUAGUCAAGCUACACAGAAUAGGUAAUUUCAUUGAUGUGAGUGAGGGCCCUCUGAUUCCAAGAACAAGUAUUUGCUUCCAGUAUGAAGUGUCAGCAGUUCACAAUCUUCAACCUAACCAGCCAAGUCUUAUAUGAAGAUUCCAGGGUCUGUCUUUACCCAUUCACUUAAGAGCACGUUUUACGAUAUGGGAUAAGCUAUUGGAAAGAUCUCAUAAAAUGGUAACUGAAGAUCAAACUAAACUGAUAAAGCAAAGUGCAUCUGCCUAAUAACUUUCCAAAAUUUAAAUAUAUAUAGUAAAUUAAAUGUUUUUAAUAUUUCAAAAACAUUUUAAGGACUGGCAGACUGUUUUCUAAAAUGGCUACACCACUUUAAAAUCCCACCAGCAGUGUAUGAAGGUUGCAAUUUCUCCAUAUUUUUGUCAGCACUUGGUAUUAUCUGUCGUUUUGAUUGUAGCCAUUCUAAUGUGUGACAAGUAGCAUCACAUUGGAGUUUGAUUUUCAUUAUCCUGAAGAAUAAUGAUGUUGAGUAUCUUUUAAUGUAUUUGUGGGCCAUUUUUAUAUAUUCUUUGCAGAAAUGUCUAGUCAGAUUCUUUGCCGAUUUUACAUUCUGUGUUCAAUGGUCUUGGCAUGCUGGUCUAAAGUCAGUUGUCCACAAAUGCAAGAAUUUAUUUCUGGAUUCUCUGUUCUAUUCCAUUGACCUUUAUAUGUAUUCUUAUGCUGGUAUGACACUGUCUUGCUUAUAUUUGCUUUGUAGUAAGUUUUGAAAUAAAGAAGUGUGAAUCCUCCAACUUUGUUCUUUUCCAAGAUCAUGUUGGCCGUUUUGGGUCUCUUCCAUUUUCAUAUUAAUUUUAAAAUCAGCUAGUCAAAUUCUGCAAAAAAGCGAGCUGGGGUUUUGGGAGGGGUUGCAUUCAAUCUGUACAACAAUGUAGAGAGUAUUGCCAUCUUAAUAGCAUUCUCUUCCAAUUCGUGGUCAUGGCAUGU